rnacentral:misc_RNA from 1 species
UGGUUCUGGCAUCGAUGAAGAACGCAGCGAAAUGCGAUAAGUAAUGUGAAUUGCAGAAUUCAGUGAAUCAUCGAAUCUUUGAACGCACAUUGCGCCCGCCAGCAUUCUGGCGGGCAUGCCUGUUCGAGCGUCAUUUCAACCCUCCAGCCCCCGUGCUGGGUGUUGGGGCCCCUGCGGACCGCAGGGCCCCGAAAAGCAGUGGCGGUCUCGCCGCGUCUCCGAGCGUAGUACUGCUCUCGCUAGGGACGUCGUGGUGGGUGCCUGCCGGAAAACGUUUAUUUUUUACUGGUUGACCUCGAAUCAGGUAGGAAUACCCGCUGA